GGAUGUAAUCUGAACGGUCGCAGAUGGUCGCACACGCGUGAAGCGCCCACUUCUAUAGGGUUUCUCGAAAAAAAAACUCUAUCCGCAUCGCUCACGCCUCACGGCCGAUGCUGCUGCCGGAUGCGGCGCUUCCCUCUCCCUUCUCCUUCGCCCCUUCUCCUCCCGCGUUCCCCGUGUGCGCCAGCCGCGAGCCCACGAGGCCAUUCGCGCACCAAGCCAUGGAGCGCCGCUCAUCUGUUUGGAGACAGAUCGGUCGUGGGAGGGCAAGCGGGUGCGACGGCGAUCCGUGCAGCUCGAUGGUGGUGGGGGGCGGAGUCGCGUCGCGCCCCGGCGCCAUCCGCCCCACCAUGGUGGCUCAGGCGGAGGAGGCGAAACCCUAGCGUGGGGAGAUGAGGUAGGCUUUGAUGCAUCUCUAUUUCGAUUCUUGCGUCUCGUGAUUGGGGGUAUCAUUCGCGGAGCGGAGAGGGUAGAAGGAAUUGAGGAGGGGAAUCGGGGGGUUUUGGUUGGGGGGUGGUGGGAUUUCAAAACCCUAGGUGUGAGUUCUUGCCAUUUUUCGCUAGCUGUGUGGUUCAAUGAAUUCCGAAACCCUAGGUGUUAGGUCAUGUUUUUGCAAGAUCUUGAAUCCCCAGUUGUGUUAGACUGUAAUUAGGUUUCGUGUAAGCAAUUUUAGGAGAUGUAUGAUGCAUUUUGUGGGUGACGAGUAUCCCUGGGGAUAGGGCUUCAUCAGCCUGCAAACAUAAUAUAAAUGAAUAAUCGAUUUGAAUUCCCUUUCUGUUUAACCAGGUGACCACCCUUGAUUGGUAUGUCUGGACCAAUACGCACAUAGACAUUGGAAAUGAUCUAAAGUGAUUUAUGCCGUACCAGGACGCUAAAAGUGAUUUAUCACUGUAAAACUUGAACCAUAAGUACUCAAUGAUCUGACAGCAUGUAAUCAUGUCAAUCUGGAUUAGAAAAAAUAGAGAAAGUAAAUAUCAAAAAAAGUAAGCUUACCUAUUGUAAUGUAGAUAAGAAUAGGAAGAAUAUCAUCAGCCCCUGAUAGUGGUCGAUCAUUUGACAUUGACACAUCUAGUAGCAGCAAGUUAUUGAUGACUUGGCAACAGCUUAUAAUGCAAACUAAGCUUCUCUGCCAUAAACAUCCUACCAAUUGAAGCAGAUAACCUUGCUCGGUUUUUGAAAUUGUAUACUACACUAUAUUCCUGUUUGAUUUUUCAUGCCUUUCAAGCAAUAAAACAGAGCUCCACAUUGUUGGUUUAUGAGCUUGAUACGAUUUCAAGUAUUUCUUACUUGAGUACAUAUUUUGCCAAUCAAUUUUUUUUCAUGUUCAAACAAUACAAUCUAAUUGUUCAUACUUCAAUGCACA